rnacentral:rRNA from 1 species
UACGUAGGGUGCAAGCGUUAUCCGGAAUUAUUGGGCGUAAAGAGCUCGUAGGCGGUUUGUCGCGUCUGCUGUGAAAACCCGAGGCUCAACCUCGGGCCUGCAGUGGGUACGGGCAGACUAGAGUGCGGUAGGGGAGAUUGGAAUUCCUGGUGUAGCGGUGGAAUGCGCAGAUAUCAGGAGGAACACCGAUGGCGAAGGCGGGUCGCUGGGCAGUAACUGACGCUGAGGAGCGAAAGCGUGGGGAGCGAACAGG